rnacentral:rRNA from 1 species
UACGAAGGGGGCUAGCGUUGCUCGGAAUUACUGGGCGUAAAGGGAGCGUAGGCGGAUAGUUUAGUCAGAGGUGAAAGCCCAGGGCUCAACCUUGGAAUUGCCUUUGAUACUGGCUACCUUGAGUAUGGGAGAGGUGUGUGGAACUCCGAGUGUAGAGGUGAAAUUCGUAGAUAUUCGGAAGAACACCAGUGGCGAAGGCGACACACUGGCCCAUUACUGACGCUGAGGCUCGAAAGCGUGGGGAGCAAACAGG